GACGAACGCUGGCGGCGUGCUUAACACAUGCAAGUCGAACGCUGAAGCUCAGCUUUUGUUGGGUGGAUGAGUGGCGAACGGGUGAGUAACACGUGAGUAACCUGCCCCCUUCUUUGGGAUAACGCCCGGAAACGGGUGCUAAUACUGGAUAUUCACUGGUCUUCGCAUGGGGGUUGGUGGAAAGGGUUUUUCUGGUGGGGGAUGGGCUCGCGGCCUAUCAGCUUGUUGGUGGGGUGAUGGCCUACCAAGGCUUUGGCGGGUAGCCGGCCUGAGAGGGUGACCGGUCACAUUGGGACUGAGAUACGGCCCAGACUCCUACGGGAGGCAGCAGUGGGGAAUAUUGCACAAUGGGCGCAAGCCUGAUGCAGCGACGCCGCGUGAGGGAUGGAGGCCUUCGGGUUGUGAACCUCUUUCGCUCAUGGUCAAGCCGCAACAAUGGUUGUGGUGAGGGUAGUGGGUAAAGAAGCGCCGGCUAACUACGUG
rnacentral:rRNA from 1 species